rfam:Neotoma lepida isolate 417 scaffold_2996, whole genome shotgun sequence.
UAGAAUAAGGUGUUUAGGUGGCACAGAGAAUUUUGAAUUCUCAGGUAUAGGUUCAAUUUCUAUUAUCCUAG